AUUGAACGCUGGCGGCAGGCCUAACACAUGCAAGUCGAGCGGAUGAAGGGAGCUUGCUCCUGGAUUCAGCGGCGGACGGGUGAGUAAUGCCUAGGAAUCUGCCUGGUAGUGGGGGAUAACGUCCGGAAACGGGCGCUAAUACCGCAUACGUCCUGAGGGAGAAAGUGGGGGAUCUUCGGACCUCACGCUAUCAGAUGAGCCUAGGUCGGAUUAGCUAGUUGGUGGGGUAAAGGCCUACCAAGGCGACGAUCCGUAACUGGUCUGAGAGGAUGAUCAGUCACACUGGAACUGAGACACGGUCCAGACACCUACGGUAGGCAGCAGUGGGGAAUAUUGGACGAUGGGCGAAUGCCUGAUCCAGCCAUGCCGCGUGUGUGAAGAAGGUCUUCGGAUUGUAAAGCACUUUAAGUUGGGAGGAAGGGCAGUAAGUUAAUACCUUGCUGUUUUGACGUUACCAUCAGAAUAAGCACCGGCUAACUUCGUG
rnacentral:rRNA from 1 species